CGAACGCUGGCGGCAUGCCUAACACAUGCAAGUCGAACGAGACCUUCGGGUCUAGUGGCGCACGGGUGCGUAACGCGUGGGAACCUGCCCUUAGGUUCGGAAUAACUCCCCGAAAGGGGUGCUAAUACCGGAUAAUGUCUUCGGACCAAAGAUUUAUCGCCUUUGGAUGGGCCCGCGUUGGAUUAGCUAGUUGGUAGGGUAAAAGCCUACCAAGGCGACGAUCCAUAGCUGGACUGAGAGGAUGAUCAGCCACACUGGGACUGAGACACGGCCCAGACUCCUACGGGAGGCAGCAGUGGGGAAUAUUGGACAAUGGGCGAAAGCCUGAUCCAGCAAUGCCGCGUGAGUGAUGAAGGCCUUAGGGUUGUAAAGCUCUUUUACCCGGGAUGAUAAUGACAGUACCGGGAGAAUAAGCUCCGGCUAACUCCGUG
rnacentral:rRNA from 1 species